UACCUCAGCCUAGUUGCUAGGCAGUGUAGUUAGCUGAUUGCAAAAGGCAACAAUCACUAACCACACAGCCAGGUAAAAAGGUCUGUCUUGCA
rnacentral:pre_miRNA from 1 species